GCUGGCGGCAGGCCUAACACAUGCAAGUCGGACGGUAACAGGAGAGAAGCUUGCUUUUCUUGCUGACGAGUGGCGGACGGGUGAGUAACGCGUGGGAAUCUACCCUUUAGUUGGGGACAACAUAUGGAAACGUAUGCUAAUACCGAAUAUGCUCUACGGAGUAAAGGUGCCCUCUCCUUGGAAGGUAUCGCUAAAGGAUGAGCCCGCGUUAGAUUAGCUAGUUGGUAGGGUAAAGGCCUACCAAGGCGACGAUCUAUAGCUGGUUUGAGAGGAUGAUCAGCCACACUGGGACUGAGACACGGCCCAGACUCCUACGGGAGGCAGCAGUGGGGAAUAUUGCACAAUGAGGGAAACCUUGAUGCAGCCAUGCCGCGUGUGUGAAGAAGGCCCGAGGGUUGUAAAGCACUUUCAAUUGUGAGGAAGAUUAAGUAGCUAAUACCUGCUUAGUUUGACGUUAACUUUAGAAGAAGCACCGGCUAACUCUGUGCCAGCAGCCGCGGUAAUACAGAGGGUGCAAGCGUUAUUCGGAAUUACUGGGCGUAAAGCGCGCGUAGGCGGACUGUUAAGUCGGUUGUGAAAGCCCUGGGCUCAACCUAGGAACUGCAUCCGAUACUGGCAAUCUAGAGUUUAAGAGAGGGAAGUGGAAUUCCAGGUGUAGCAGUGAAAUGCGUAGAUAUCUGGAGGAACAUCAGUGGCGAAGGCGACUUCCUGGCUUAAAACUGACGCUGAGGUGCGAAAGCUUGGGUAGCGAACGGGAUUAGAUACCCCGGUAGUCCAAGCCGUAAACGAUGUCAACUAGCUGUUGGUCUUAUUAAAAAGAUUAGUAGCGCAGCUAACGCGAUAAGUUGACCGCCUGGGGAGUACGGU
rnacentral:rRNA from 1 species